GCGGGAGUAAUUCAGCGGUAGAAUGUCAGCUUCCCAAGCUGAACGUCGCGGGUUCGACCCCCGUCUCCCGCUCCA
rnacentral:tRNA from 1 species